CCCCCUGUAGCGCAGAGGAUAGCUCAUCGGCCUUCUAACUCAAAGGUCGUGGGUACAAUUCUCACCAGGGGAG
rfam:Trichuris suis scaffold95.4, whole genome shotgun sequence.